AUUCCAAAUGUCACACAAUCACAGAAACUAUCUGCAGUUGGCAAAGCCACGCCUCUGCUAGAGCACGAGGCAAAUCAUAGUCAGCUGCCUCCAGGCAGCCCCACAUCUCCACAUCUGGGAUUAAAACAUUUCUGUGUUUCUUUUUUAAAGAAACCAAAAUUCCAGAAUUCUCACUACACAGACGCAAUAAAAAGUUUUUAGGCUGGGCAUUGUGAGAUCCAAUCAUGUACGCUGUGAUUGGCCUCAUCCUACCCUACAAACUUCCAGCUCAAUUACCAGUUCAUAAACAAGGGCAAACAAGUGAAAACUCAAGUAGUUCCAUAAGUUAGGACUGACAUGUCACAUCAGCCCAAGAGCCUCUGAAACACCAGCUACUUCAGGCCCCAAGAGCCUAAUCUGCCCUAUGGGCUCAGAUUACUAUACAAUGCUCACGGUCACACAAAUUAUCAGUGUUAGCCAUUUGUGAUGGUUUGUAUAUGCUUAGCCCAGGGAGUAGCACUCUUUGGAGGUGUGGCCUUGUCGGAGUGGGUGUGGCCUUGUUGGAGUGGGUGUGGCCUUGUCGGAGUGGGUGUGGCCUUGUUGGAGUAGGUGUGUCACUGAAGCAUGGGGUUUAAUAACCUUGUCCUAGCAGCCAGGAAGCCAGCCUUCUCCUAUUUGCCUUUGGAAUAAGAUGCAGAACCCUCGGCUCCUCUUGCACCAUGCCUGCCUGGAUGCUGCCAUGCUUCCCCCUUGAUGAUAAUAGACUAAACCUUUGAACCUGUAAGUCCACCCCAAUUAAGUAUUGUCUUUGUAAGAAUUGCCUUGGUCAUGAUGUCUGUUCACAGCAGUAAAACCCUAAGACACCACUAACCAUAAAUAAUUAUUACAUUAAAUGCUUACAGGUAUCAGCAGUAUUAUCAUUUAAAAAACUCAAAGUGCCUUUUUGUGCACGUGCCCAAUUUAUUAUCAUUAGUAAGGAAGCGAUGACCUUCAGUUACCAAUAAAUGAAAAUAUCAGUAGCACACCCUUCCAAGCAAGCCAUAAGACUGCAGGAGACCCUGGAUUUGUCACCUUUCAUAUGUGUCCCAGCUCCAAAUUAUCUGUUAACUCAUCAGCUAGAUGUGUCAGUUAGCUUUGCGUUGUUAUAGCAGAUGUCUAAGAUGACAGAAAUCUUUUAAGGUUUACUUGGGCCCACAGAUCUGAGUGUUUCAAUGUCCGACCAAUGUGUUGGGCCUGUGGUAAUGUCAUAUCAUGGUAGGAGCACACAGUGGGUCUACAGAGCUCACCUUGAGGCCAGGACGCAAACAAGAGUGAGGGAGAGCUGGAUCCCAUAAUUCUCAAUGGCCUAAGUGCUGCCCAGUAGGCCCAUAAUUCACAGGUUCCAACAGUUCUCAACGGCACACCACUGGGGACCAAGCCUUUAACACAUGGUCCUCUGGGGACAUUAUAGAACCAAAACACAUGAAUGAAUGAAUGAAUGAAUGAAUGAAUGAAUGAAUGAAAGAUUACUGUCUCCCUGAUUAUCUUUCAUGAGGAAAAAAACUAGCAGUUGCAUGGCACAGUCUGAUGGGGCGGGUGAUCUUCAGUCAUGACCACCAAGCCAUCUAUAAAGUCAGGCAAGAUCGCUGGUUGGCUGCUCCAGGUAUGUAUUAGCGUGUACUAAAUGACCCGAAAGCUAGCUGUAUAAAACCCUUACCAUUUCACUGCCCCUGUGGAUCACGUGUGUCAUCAGGAAUUCAGAAGCAGGACAAUGGAGGUAGCUUUUAACUGCUUUGUAACAUCCGUGGUCUCCGCUGGGUUCACCAGCUACCCUGGAAGCAAAAACACUGGCUUGGAGAAUCCAUUCCCAGGAUGGCCUCUUCAUUUACACACGUGUGUCUGGCACAAGCCUAGAAUGGCCAGGGUGAGCUCUGCCGAGAUUGUCAAGCGGAGGACGUACACAGGCCUUUUACUUUUUAAAAUCUCCCCUAUACUUCUUUUACUCAUUUCUUCUUUGCUUUUCAGGUUAUGUGUGUGCUAAGAAAAUACUCUAUACCAAGCUAUAGCAAUACCCUCUGUUCUUAGCUGAAUUUUUCUCUCUCUCUCUCUCUCUCUCUCUCUCUCUCUCUCUCUCUCUAUCUCCCUCCCUCCCUUCCUCCCUCCCUCCUUUCCUUCCUUCCCUUCCCUUUCCUUUCCUUUUUUUUUUUUUUUUUUUUUUUUGGCAGGGUCAAAAAAACUACAUAGCCCAGGCUGGCCUAGAAUUUGUGGCAAUCCUCUUGCCUCAACCUCCUUUGUGCUAAGAAUAUGGGUGCACACCACCAUGCCCAGGUGACUUUUCACAUGUUUGUUCAAGGAAGGCUCUAAGUGCCAUUAUUCCUGCUGAACAAGGCGGAGUCCAGCCUUUUAUGACAUAGCCUUGGAAGUCACAUGGGGUUACUGUUGCCAUAUGACACCAGUGACGAAGUCACAAACCCCCCACAUACAGGUUAAAGAGAGAGGGACACAGACGUACUUCUUAUCUCUUACCUGAAAGAGUGAUUAUUUUAUGGCACCUUUUAAAACAUUUUGAAUUUGAACUUUAGUUGAUAAACAUGGUUAUUUAUAGAAAACAGACGUCAAUAUCUACAAUUAUAUUUCUAAUUAGCCAGUUUCUGCAUCAGAAGGGGUCAUAGUCCCAAAGCAAUGGAAGGUCUGCAUUGGUGUUGGGUAAAUAUUAAUUUGGAAUAACAACAAAGGAGACAGGUGAUUUUAAAAAGAGUCACCUUUGAAUCGUCAAUUUUACUAAAAUUUAUUAGUUGGGCAAAACAUCAUUUCAUUUUUGCUAAGGGUAUGCAUCAAUCAGAUGCUCAAAAGUUACAUUAAAACAUUUAAGAAUCUAGAAAACAGGAAGCUAUUUAGCUUGUAGACAGUGACUGCCUCAAGUAGCAAACUCAAUCUCCCAGAACGAAGCAGCAGAGGCGCACCGGCAGGCUGGGGCAAGAAAAUGGAAAUAAACAGUGGACAGCUUGUGCCUCUGCGUAAGGCAUUUGGACUCGUUUGGGUUUUUUGGUUUUCCUUUUGUUUUUGUCUUUUUAAGCUACAUUUCUAAAAUCAGUCCUGGGCCCAUAGUUUAUAAUUGUUGACUUGGAUUAGGUAACGGGUCUUUUCUGGAAUCGUUAGUGUUUUCCCUAGUUGUUUUGGCCUAUUUCCAAUCCUCUCUGCUUGCUGCUUUUCCCUCAUUCUGGGGACUGAACUCAGAGCUCUGUAGCUGCUAGACAAGUGCUCCCCUAUUACACUGUACCCUGCCCUGCUCUUCAGCCCUCUCGGAGACUCUACCAUUCACUGUCUAAUUCUGUGGUUAAUAAUAAACACCCGCCAAGAACCUUGUCCAUGCACAACCGCCUUUUGGGGUGGAUAAGGAAACUGAACAUAAGGCAAAUUAAAUUGACGGGUAAAAGAGCCAAAACUGAUAGGCGGCAGAGAAGGAGUUUACAUGUAGACAUGUUUGAUUCAGUGAUAACACGUGCUGCGUAACAUGAUGCUUCCGAUUAAAUGUGACUCCUCCAAGGUGAGGCGGGUCAGAAAGGGCACGCCUUGCUGGGACUUCUUCAGGACAGGAACAGUAGUGUGCCUGAGGCGGGGACUAUGCAGGGGACAGUAUCUUAUCUAGAAAUCCUGGAAUGUUAGGACUGUGUAAGAAACUGUACUGCCGACCCCUGACCCUUGCCCUGGAUACCUGCAGACACCUUGAGUCUUCUGGGGGAUGGGCAGUGCUUGCACAACUAGUCAUGUGACGGAGGACCAUUCACCAGCAAGAUGCUUCUCCACACACUGACAAGAGAAAGCACAAGGACACUGGGCUCCAAACUCGACCACCAUGCCAGGCAGACCCCACGAGAUUUGCUCGUUAAAGAAUCUUCUUUGAAAAGGCUCCCUUUAAAACCUUGCUCUGUUUCCUUGAAGAGAAGACUCAAGAGUCCUCAUACGUCAUGCGUAUGACAGGCAAUUUUUAAUCGUUUAAAUAAUUUAUUCUUCAUUGUUUAAUGCUUUAUACCAUUCCUCCAUGCAUAAUUUAUUAUACCAUUUAUGUUUAUUAAAAAUUGAUCAUGGGGACAUGCUCCCUCUCUGUUCUCCGAGGCCACUGAUAUUUCUCUGUCAGACCACUUGGGAGCAGACAACUAAGCAUUCCAGCAGAUUUCUUAAUUCGUGUUAACCGUUUGCAUGUCCUUUCUUCUCCAACAGAUUGUCUUCAUCGGGGAGGGUCAAGGGGCUUGGAUAAUAACUACCAAGAUAAUAUUAUCUUAGAUAUUAAGUACUCAUCCCUUCUUUGUAUACAGCAGGGACCUUAUCUAAAGGCCUAUUCCCUACCCACUGAGUGCUUCAGGGUGGGUAAAAAGGCCUAUUUUACUUUUCUAAUGUUUAGAGCCUAUGGUUAAAAGGAGGCAUAAAGGAACAAGAUUCUAGAGCCUUCCAUGCAGGAGCCAUAGCUUCUGGAACCAGAUCUUUCUCGUCACCUUCUCCAGUCUGCUCAUUGUCUCACACGACGCAUUUCCCUUUCCUUUUUCAUGUCUCCACUCAUGGGUUAACUUUGGGCUUUUUCUUUUUCUCUGUUUUCAACUUCUCCAUCAAUCAUCUCAUCUUUGAAUUUCUCAAUGCUAUGACCUGAGCAUGUCUCUGCUCCCCACCAACCCCGAAUCCUUCGAGUCUUCAUCUCCAGUGCUCCCAUGAGACAUCCUGGACGCCGUGGCUCAGACCUGACCAUUGCCUAUUUCUCUGAGGGAAGGCAGGAGAGGAGCAGCAGCGCUCAUGGUGUGAAAGUUGAAUGGAAGUUAGAAAGCACUGGAGGGGCUCAGGAUAUAAACAGUCUUCAUGGCAUCCAAUGUCAUCUGUCAGAGUCCCUCUGGUACCUUUAAUACAACCGUCCCACUCCCACGGGUCUGAUCUGUCUCAUUCCAGAGUCUCCUAUUGCAACGGAUGACACUGUCACUGACUAGUCAAGCCAACAGCAUGACAGUCAGCCUUGCCUCUUCACGUGCACCUGUACAACCAACACAUGUACAGUCCGUUCCCUCUCACUGUUGACACAUGUCCCCUAAACUUUACGCCAAGGUCACACGCACACUCCUUUGCCCGGUCCUCUGCAACUGUUUCCAGGAAGUCUCCAGGCCCAAAUCCCUCCAUCCUCAGUCUGCCAGUCAUUGUGAUCUCUCCAAAAGGCAUGUCUGGCUUUGUGACCUAGACCAAUUCCCAUGGUUUUGCUAGGCUGUGUUUUGGUUUCUAAUAGCUUGUGUUCUUUCACAAUUUUAUACAUGGAUACAAUGUAUCUGAUCACUCUCUGUUACCUUGCCUUAUCCUCUUCCUCCAUACAAAUCUCCUUCCCAUAUUCAUGAUGUUUGGGUCCCACUGAGUUUGACACAUACUAUCUGUGUCCAUGGAUUUGAAUAAAAAUCUACUGGAACCUGUUGGGUAUGCAGUAGGGAUGCACCUGAGUACUAUGCCCUCCUCUUUCCAAGACUCCGUUAGCUGUCAACAGUCCACAUUAUGUAGGAGGGCUCUUCUCCUUCCAUGAUCCAUAGCUGACUUCAGGUUAGCAGAUUUGUGCGGGCUCAGUGCCAGGAACUACAGCUGCUGUGCGUCCAUGAUUGAUAUGCCUAUGUCAUGCUUAUGGUCUUUUUUUUUUUUUUCUUUCUUUUUUUUUUUUUUUUGACACAGGGUCUUACUAUAUAGCCAAGCCUGGUUUUAACUCAUAAUCCUCAUGUUUCCUGUCCCAGAAUUCUCCACACCGAGUCAAACUCAUGAUGACUGAGUUAUGCUCACCAUGGACCUCACUCGCUCAUGGGGGCAGAACUGGGCUGCGCUUGUUCACUGGGUGCUUGGUGCCUGGCACCGCCUGUCCUCCAUGGUACCCACUGAUUGGAAACGACUGUGUGGUGACUGAAUCCUUUGGUGGCUUCCGAUAAGCUGGCCUUCACCUUGUGUAUGGUCUUCUGCCUUGAAUUUACUCUAUACCUGUGAUUUGCUUUAACCCUUAAAAGACCACACAUGAGGGCCUGCUACUUUUGGCUUUGCAAUCCUGAAGCUACAGGAAAAAAAAACAAAAACAAAACAAAACAAAAAAAAAAAAAAAAAAAAAAACAGAGCAUCUAAACCUGCUACCCAGUACACUCCUGGCCUUCUAGGGUAGGAGAUGAAAAUUGCCAGACGGACCCUAGACAAGCACACCAGGAAAGCUGUCCAGCUGUGAAAUCAGCCCGGGCUACAGGACUGUGGGCAAGUAAAAUGACUAAUGUUUUAAACACUGUGUUCUACCGUAAUCUGUUACAUGGCAGCAUUUAAAAUAUAUUGUGACAAUUUGAAUGAAAACUGUCCCCUAUCGGCUUGUCUAUGUGAAUAUGUGAUCCCGGAUGGCAAAUGCUGCUUGAGAGAGUGUGAGAACCUUUAGAUAGUGGAGUCUUGCCGGAGGAAGGAUGUCACCGCAGGCAGAAUUUGAGGUUUCUAGCCUUACCCUGCUUCCUACUCCUCUUUCUGUUCCUCCGUUCAGAGAAGAUGUGACCUCACAGCUUCCUGCUACCUUCCUCACGUUACAGAUCCCCCCUUAGAGCUGUAAGCUGGGUAAGCGCUUUCUUCCUCAAGCAAUCUUUGCUCACAAUAUUUUAUUAACAAUAAAAAGAAAACUGAUACACAUAUCAUAUAUAAACACGUUUAAUACACUAACUCCACACAAGGAAAUAGGUUACUACACACAAUGAAUUUAUGUGAUAACAAGCCCAAGUUUUUUGUUUUUUGUUUUUUUCCGGAGCUGGGGACCGAACCCAGGGCCUUGCGCUUGCUAGGCAAGCGCUCUACCACUGAGCUAAAUCCCCAACCGCCCAAGCCCAAGUUUUUAAGUAAUAUUUAUAUGAAAUAGCAGACUGAAAAGAAGACCAUCAGGCUGGCAAGAUGGCUCUGUGGGUAAACAGCUUGUCCCUGAGCCUGACAACCUGAGUUCAUCCCUGGAGUCCAGCUAGGGAGGGGUGGAAGGAUGGAACCUAGUCACUGACUCCCAGGAGUUGUCCUCUGUCCUCCACACACUAUGGUGUGCCUGUAUCCUUCCUCAUCCUCUCCCUCUCCCUCUCUCUCUGAUUCUCUCUCUCUCUCUCUCUCUCUCUCUCUCUCUCUCUCUCUCUCUCUCUGUGUGUGUGUGUGUCUCUCUGAUUCUCUCUCUCUCUCUCUGACUCUGACUCUAUUUCCUCUCUCUCUCUCUCUGACUCUGUCUCCUCUCUGUCUCUCUUUCUCUGACUCUCUUUCUCUCUCUCUCUCUGAAUAAAUGUAUUUUUAAUAAAGAAAAUACCAGUGCAAAUGAAAGGACCUGGAGGUGCUCAUCCCAAAGCCUCUUUAACACACCACAUUUUCUCUCUGCUGUUCUCUUUGGUUUCAAGACAUUUUCCAAUGGAAAGUUUUCUCCUCCCUCUCCCCUCUUUUUUAAGAAGAGAUUCCAGGCCUGACAUUAACAUUCAGGAGUCCGACCAAGAAUGUAAGAGAACACUAGCAAACACACGGAAGCUGCUUAAAUUCCCAGGGCUGAUCCAUCCCUGCUGAAGUACUGGGGAGCCAAGCGGGGGCCGCUAUGGGGACUCUGGGCUUGGCUGGCCCGGACACUAACUGUGUGCUUCUGUGUGAAAAAUCUACCAUCCCCCAACGAAGAGAAUGCCCAGUUCUUACACACACAGCCUUGUGCUGUGUCCAUGGGCUAGUGGGGGGGGGGGGGGAGGCAGUGUUUUUAACCCAGAUAGACAAACAGUUACACAUAUGCAAAGAGACCCCAAGGAGACAGUUAAUGCCCCCCAAGACAGGAUCCAGGACAAGCAAGGUCCUUUCAAAAGCCCAGAUACCAGGCACAUACAUUAACAUGGCCGUCUGCCAUGAGUUCAAAUCCCUCACAUGUAGAAAUUGUGUGGAUGGGUUGUUAAGAUACCUAGGCUGACCAGCUAGCCUCACAGAGCUGAGCAACGGGUUCUGACACUGUCUCAAAAAUACAAUGGAGAAUGAUAGAGUUGUCCAAUGUUCUAGCCUACACAUACACACACACACACACACACACAGAGAGAGAGAGAGAGAGAGAGAGAGAGAGAGACUCUGACACAGAGACUGGAGAGACAGAGAGACAGACACACACAGACACAUACACUCACACAUAGACAUAGACACACACACACAGAAACAGAGAGAGAGGGAAGAUAAACAAACACACAGACACACACAUGCACACAUACACAUAGACACACACAGAGACACAUACACAAAGAGAGAGAGACACACAGAGAGAGACAGAGAGACAGGGAGAGAGACACAGACACACACAGACACAGACACACACAGAGACACACACACAGACAUACACAUGUACAGAGAGAAAGAGACACACAGAGUCAGACACACACACACACACACACACACACACACACACACACACACAGAGCCCUUCCUUUCUUCUCCUGGACAAUGACGCUCUUUGAAUAGAUGCUAUCUCAGUUGCUGACCCAGGGACAUAGAGAAUGGAAGUCUUAGUCUGUAACUUCCUUCAGAGUAACUUCAAGUAAAGAUUCCAAGUAGAGGCAGAGCAGGGAGCAGAGGAAAGGGACCAGGCACCAGUUUUCACCUUUUAGGAAAGAAAAAAGUCUGGCAUAGAAGUGGGGUCUUGCAAUAGAAGAAAUGUUGUUCUCCUGACCUGAUGACCUCUAGGCUGCGUCUUCUCACUUGAUUUUAUUUAGUAGGUAUUUAGUAAGUGUUUGUCGGGUGGGUGGAUGGAUUAUGGAGACUGGGGGGCAGACCUAGGAUAAUCUGACACGGCAGGUAUAUGUCAGUGUGGCGCUGUCUAUCAUCAGAGCAAGGCAGAGCUGGGUCUGAAGCAGGAGUGAGUUACUAAAACAUAAACCAGAUUCCACCACCCCACUGACUGUUCAGCUGGAGUCCAGGCCUCACAUCUGUCUGUGUCCACAUCUCUGACUUGGCCCUGCACCCCUCUCCCACAAGCCCACACUCCCUCUCCUUAACUGGUGUGUGCAUCUUGUUCUCACCUCAGGACCUUUGCUUUGCCUUUGCCUGACAUAUUUUCCCAGAUGUCGUGUGCCUGGUCAUUUGAAUCUCAAGUUUCCUGGACAGCUAUGUGACAAGCAGUGUCCUCCCUGUUCUCUAACCUAGAGGUUCUCAACCUUCCUAAUCCUUCAACCCUUUGACAUAAUUCCUCACGCUGCGAUGACUCCCAACCAUAAAAUAAUUUUGCUACUUUAUAACUGUAAUUUUGUUAAUGUGAAUAGUAAUGUAUCUAGGUUUACGAUAAUCCUAGGGAUGGUCAUUCCUAAAGGGGUCAUGACCCACAGGUUGAGAAACAAAGCUCUAACCAAACAUCUGGUCAUCUUGUCACUGUCUUAAUUUACCUAACUUAUGCGACUUCCUGCUUACACUUCUUUCUCCCUCAUAGAAGGCAAACUCUGUGGAUACAGAGACCAUGCCUUAAGCCUCCAUGGUAAGCGCUCAACUGAUGCCCACUGAACAAAUAGAGCCCACAAACAGAGGCCCUAGACAGGUAACCUUCCACAUCAGUGGCAGAAAGGAAGGCUACCUUCACUCAGCUCUGUCUCCUGGAUGCUUCGGCUGGAAGCCUCAAGAAGCCGGAAGCCAGAACUGGGCCAUCUGUGCUCAGCACUGCAGACUCCAACAACUCUACAGAUACGGACCGCUCAAGGUCUUCUCAUCCGGCUUCUAUAGAGUGAGGGAAUCCAUACGUAUCAAACAAACCACAGCUAAUUCUGUGUGUCUUGAGGUGAGGGCCAGCCACAGAAGGUCCUGAUGCCCUCCAGGGUAGAGGCCCGGGCUCACUGUAAACAUGUGCUCCCUCCGAUGGGAAUAGCAGGAUGCUUGGGCCAGAAGGUUCUGCACCACAGACCCGGAAAUAAAACAAAUAAAGAAUGUGUUCCCUCCUACGAAGCCCUUAGCAUCCACCAGUUGACUGACUUUGGAAGAUUUUUCCAGAAAUGAUUUGGAAGGAAUAGUUUAACUUUUGUUUUUUUGUUUUGUUUUGUUUGUUUUUGUUUUUGUUUUUAUUUUUAGGACAUUAAUUCAAUAGCUUUAUCGAGUGCUGAUAAAGAUGGAUGUCUCUUUGUCUGCUCAGAACUCAUCUCUAGGAAAAAUAUCUCUGCUCAAGAAAAUGACCCUUAACCUUUCCAUCAGUGGGGGGUCGGGCAGUGGUGGAGACAGGGACAGACAGAAGGGGAACGGGAGCCAUUUCUGGGUAAGCAGGGCCUCCAGUAAUUUCUGGGAUUAGGGUCAGAAGCAGAGAGGUGGCACAAGCAAGCAAAGUCUUCGGGGACAAUCACGGUGACCAGGGCAACAGGUGAGGCUUGGUGAGAAAAAUGGCACUCUAGAGAAAGUCCCUUUCCUGGCUUCAGUUUAGGGGCAAGUGUACAGAUCUAUGUGACUGUCACUGCCAGCCCGGUCAGAGGGACAUGUACUAGUAAAGGAGUUGCUUGACAGAAGAGAAAUAAAAUAAUAAAACAAUUCCUCCUCCCAAGCUUCAGCUGAUGGUGGGGACAGUCCCCUUAGCCUCAGGCUUGACCCUCCAGAGACAAGCUCCAAGCUACGGAUUGCCUUAGUUUAUUAACAUUUUACUGUGAAAUGCACCAAGCCUUGUCCUGCCCUGCCCUACCCUAUCCUGCCCCAGCACCGAAAAGCAGAUCUUAGGAGUAAUUCCAUACAGCAAAGCCAGUGGUAGAAAAUGCAGGGAAACGCAUACCAUGUCUCUCUCUUUUUCCAAUCCCUACCACCCAGCUCUUCUGCUCUGGGUGAGCUCAGCAGCACUAGGGCCUUGGCUAAUCCAGAAAUUGCUUCCAUAUGUAGGCACAGGAAAGAAUGUCCUCACUGGCUGCCUGGAAAGGAAACCCUGGCAGCCACUCCUUCCUGCCAGAAAAUUCUCCUCAGGCCAGAGAGGGAGCUACAGGGGGUUGAACUGAGAUCACACACAGCUGCAGCCUCCCCAGUUUGUGGAUGAAGAAACUGAGGCGAUGUUAUACAAAUGGUGGCAGAGCUGGAGGAAAAACUUGAAAAUGCCUCCUUCCUUCUCUCUCCCUCCCUCUCCUCUCCCCCACCAAUCCGUCCCACCCUCCCCACACCCC